AUUGAACGCUGGCGGCAUGCUUUACACAUGCAAGUCGAACGGCAGCGGGGGUGCUUGCACCUGCCGGCGAGUGGCGAACGGGUGAGUAAUGCAUCGGAACGUGCCCAGUCGUGGGGGAUAACUUGCCGAAAGGUAAGCUAAUACCGCAUACGUCCUGAGGGAGAAAGCGGGGGAUCUUCGGACCUCGCGCGAUUGGAGCGGCCGAUGUCAGAUUAGCUAGUUGGUGGGGUAAAGGCCUACCAAGGCGACGAUCUGUAGCGGGUCUGAGAGGAUGAUCCGCCACACUGGGACUGAGACACGGCCCAGACUCCUACGGGAGGCAGCAGUGGGGAAUUUUGGACAAUGGGGGCAACCCUGAUCCAGCCAUGCCGCGUGAGUGAAGAAGGCCUUCGGGUUGUAAAGCUCUUUCAGCCGGGAAGAAAUCGCGCAUUUUAAUAGAGUGUGUGGAUGACGGUACCGGACCAAGAAGCACCGGCUAACUACGUG
rnacentral:rRNA from 1 species